rnacentral:tRNA from 1 species
ACCGCGAUAGCUCAGUUGGUAGAGCGUCUGCCCGGUGGGCGGAUUGCUGCCGGUUGGAUCCCGGCUCGCAGCG